rnacentral:tRNA from 1 species
GUAUAGCUCAGUGGUAGGGCACUUGCCUAGUAUGUACGAGACCCUGGGCUCAAUUCCCAGCAC